CCUACGGGAGGCAGCAGUGGGGAAUAUUGCGCAAUGGGCGAAAGCCUGACGCAGCAACGCCGCGUGCGGGAUGAAGGCCUUCGGGUUGUAAACCGCUUUCAGCAGGGAAGAAGCCGCAAGGUGACGGUACCUGCAGAAGAAGCACCGGCUAACUACGUGCCAGCAGCCGCGGUAAUACGUAGGGUGCAAGCGUUGUCCGGAUUUAUUGGGCGUAAAGAGCUCGUAGGCGGUCUGUUACGUCGGAUGUGAAAACCCGGAGCUUAACUCCGGGCCUGCAUUCGAUACGGGCAGACUUGAGUGUGGUAGGGGAGACUGGAAUUCCUGGUGUAGCGGUGAAAUGCGCAGAUAUCAGGAGGAACACCAAUGGCGAAGGCAGGUCUCUGGGCCAAUACUGACACUGAGGAGCGAAAGUCUGGGGAGCGAACAGGAUUAGAUACCCUGGUAGUCCGCACCGUAAACGGUGGGCACUAGUUGUGGGAACCUUCCACGGUUUCCGCGACGCAGCUAACGCAUUAAGUGCCCCGCCUGGGGAGUACGAUCGCAGGAUUAAAACUCAAAGGAAUUGACGG
rnacentral:rRNA from 1 species